rnacentral:rRNA from 1 species
UGGGGAAUUUUGGACAAUGGGGGCAACCCUGAUCCAGCAAUGCCGCGUGUGUGAAGAAGGCCUUCGGGUUGUAAAGCACUUUUGUCCGGAAAGAAAACGUCGUGGUUAAUACCCGUGGCGGCUGACGGUACCGGAAGAAUAAGCACCGGCUAACUACGUGCCAGCAGCCGCGGUAAUACGUAGGGUGCAAGCGUUAAUCGGAAUUACUGGGCGUAAAGCGUGCGCAGGCGGUCCGCUAAGACAGAUGUGAAAUCCCCGGGCUUAACCUGGGAACUGCAUUUGUGACUGGCGGGCUAGAGUAUGGCAGAGGGGGGUAGAAUUCCACGUGUAGCAGUGAAAUGCGUAGAGAUGUGGAGGAAUACCGAUGGCGAAGGCAGCCCCCUGGGCCAAUACUGACGCUCAUGCACGAAAGCGUGGGGAGCAAACAGGAUUAGAUACCCUGGUAGUCCACGCCCUAAACGAUGUCAACUAGUUGUCGGGUCUUCAUUGACUUGGUAACGUAGCUAACGCGUGAAGUUGACCGCCUGGGGAGUACGGUCGCAAGAUUAAAACUCAAAUGAAUUGACGGGGUC